AAUCUUAUAAAUGUCUUCUUGAAUACAUUUAGAUCAAAUGACCUGAUCUAAUGUUGCGUCAGUGCGAGCAUGAAUAUCGUCUAACACUGCGUCAUGUUCAAGACAAGUUUGUUUCUCUCUCUCUUUCUCAAUCUCAUUUAUUUUAUUCAUUCAAAUCUGAUUUGGUGAUGUUUUUGCUUCGAUGUGUACAUUUUUUGCAGAAGUUGUUUAUCCUUUGAUAUUUGAUUUAGAACAUGAUUUGAAGGUUAAUUUAAUUGCUUGUGUUACUUUCUGUUUGUUCAGAGGUCCAGUUCAUCCAGUCGGAAGCUCUUCGCCUUAAAAAAUUCUAUUUGUAUCAUAAUGGUUUUGUUAGAUUAGGUAGACAUAAUAACCAAUAGAGUAACAUUUGGGACUUAAGUGAGAUUUGUGAUCACAGUGGUUUGUUUUUUAGUAAGUGACUAUUUAUGGUUGUGUCACAUGAUAUAACAAUGAAGUCAUCAUGAGAAGAAAUUUGACUUGGUGCUGAGAUCAUAUGCGACUAUCAUGGAUGCAGGUACUUUUUGGUUUAUUUUGUCAAAGAGCCUUCUUGUUUGGAGUGUCUCCAUCACAUGAUACAAAUAAUGAUAAACUUUCUGUUGGAUGAAAGGAAGCUAGGAGGUGUGGGAGUCUCUUAGACCAUAAUUAUCGCCUGCAAUUCCAUAGUUCCUACAGGUUUUCCAAGUUGCUUGUGUCAGAGCAAACAGAUAUUUCAUAUUUAAUGGACGUGCUUUAUAUUGAAUUGUUGGCAUGCAGAAGCACGUCCUUUAGCAUUUGCUGGAUCAUUCAAUUACAAUAACAAAUUACCAACUAUACUAUAAAGAAAGAUUGCAAGGCUAUGCGUCUGUUUGGUUUGGCAUCUGAGAAGCUCAAACGCGAGUCUCCAACCUCAAAACGCGAUUGUCACAAUUUCUGGGUUGUUUGGGUUAAAGGAAACGCGAUUCUCUUCAACGUGAUUUAGCAACCAGACGUGAGUCUCCUAGAAGUCAGGAUUCCUAGCUUCUGCGUCUCAUAAACGCGAUUCUGCUUUUUUUGUG
rnacentral:lncRNA from 1 species